rnacentral:rRNA from 1 species
GCGGUGGAGUAUGUUGGUUUAAUUCGACGCAACGCGCAGAACCUUUACCUGGUCUUGACAUCCCGGGAAUCUUGUGGAAACACGAGAGUGCCUCGGCAAAGAGGAGCCUGGAGCAGGUGCUGCAUGGCUGUCGUCAGCUCGUGUCGUGAAGAUGUUGGGUUAAGUCCCGCAACGAGCGCAACCCCUAUCUUUAGUUGCCAUCAUUGAGUUGGGCACUCUAAAGAGACUGCCGGUGUCAAACCGGAGGAAGUGGGGAUGACGUCAAGUCCUCAUGGCCUUUAUGACCAGGGCUACACACGUACUACAAUGGCCGGUACAAAGGGCAGCGACACAGCGAUGUGAAGCGAAUCCCGAAAAGCCGGUCUCAGUCCGGAUUGGAGUCUGCAACUCGACUCCAUGAAGUUGGAAUCGCUAGUAAUCGCGGAUCAGCACGCCGCGGUGAAUACGUUCCCGGGCCUU